UACGUAGGUGGCAAGCGUUGUCCGGAUUUAUUGGGUUUAAAGGGUGCGUAGGUGGAUUAGUAAGUCGGUGGUGAAAUCUCCGGGCUUAACCCGGAAACUGCCAUUGAUACUAUUAGUCUUGAAUACCGUGGAGGUCAGCGGAAUAUGUCAUGUAGCGGUGAAAUGCUUAGAUAUGACAUAGAACACCAAUUGCGAAGGCAGCUGGCUACACGAGCAUUGACACUCAGGCACGAAAGCGUGGGGAUCAAACAGG
rnacentral:rRNA from 1 species